rnacentral:rRNA from 1 species
AUUGAACGCUGGCGGCAGGCCUAACACAUGCAAGUCGAGCGGAGCGGCGGACGGGCGAGUAAUGCAUAGGAAUCUGCCUGGUAGUGGGGGAUAACGUCCGGAAACGGGCGCUAAUACCGCAUACUAGCAGAUGAGCCUAGGCUGGAUUAGCUAGUUGGUGGGGUAAGGGCCUACCAAGGCGACGAACCGUAACUGGUCUGAGAGGAUGAUCAGUCACACUGGAACUGAGACACGGUCCAGACUCCUACGGGAGGCAGCAGUGGGGAAUAUUGGACAAUGGGCGAAAGCCUGAUCCAGCCAUGCCGCGUGUGUGAAGAAGGUCUUCGGGUUGUAAAGCACUUUAAGUUGGGAGGCGUUACCAACAGAAUAAGCACCGGCUAACUUCGUGCCAGCCGCCGCGGUAAUAC